AUUGAACGCUGGCGGCAUGCCUCACACAUGCAAGUCGAACGGCAGCACGGGAGCAAUCCUGGUGGCGAGUGGCGAACGGGUGAGUAAUGUAUCGGAACGUACCUUUCAGUGGGGGAUAACGUAGCGAAAGUUACGCUAAUACCGCAUAUUCUGUGAGCAGGAAAGCAGGGGAUCGCAAGACCUUGCGCUGAUUGAGCGGCCGAUAUCAGAUUAGCUAGUUGGUGAGGUAAAGGCUCACCAAGGCGACGAUCUGUAGCGGGUCUGAGAGGAUGAUCCGCCACACUGGAACUGAGACACGGUCCAGACUCCUACGGGAGGCAGCAGUGGGGAAUUUUGGACAAUGGGCGCAAGCCUGAUCCAGCCAUGCCGCGUGAGUGAAGAAGGCC
rnacentral:rRNA from 1 species